AUUUUCUCUCUUAGAAGUUCCUCAGACAUAUGGGAAGGUGGUCAAGAGCAGGAGCUGCUGCUGCUGCCCUCUUGACUGGAAAUAGUAGAUGCCAGUAGAAUCAAAAACAGGAGAAACAAAUAAUAUGUAGGACAAUUGCAGGAGCUCUCAGAGUCCUGGUGUUUCAGGCCUGCAGAAGCUCAGCCUUGUAUACCAAGCUGUGGGGCUGCCUGAGGAGCUUUCACAAACAGCACUUUAUGUAGCUUAUUGCAAGCUGUGCAGCACUCACACAACCACACAGUAUUUACUGGUUGGAAUUGUUGGGCCAGCUGGACCACAGUGCACACAGCCAUGUGUCUUCCCAGAAGUCAGCUAGAUGUGUUUGCGCAUCCCAGCAAGCUCUGCUUGUGAGUAGUUCAGUGGCCUCUUUCUCCUUUGACUCUGUAUAUGGAAGGAGAUGUGUUAUGUGUAACCGAGCCAAGAAUGGCCCAACUCUGCUCUCUGUACAUUUCCAAGCACCAAUAAGUCUAAUAGUUGUGCUUAUUCUGUGAUAAAUGACGAUAAGCACUGGCUGAGGAAGCUGUUGUCUGUGGAGACAGCAUCCGUGUGUCCACUGACUCCUGUUGUCUCUUACUCUGUGCUGAUGGCACGUGCCAAACCCCACGUUGUCUCAGUGCCAGCUGACCACAGGAUCCAUCCAGCCGACUGCUUUGCGGUGAUGAAUUGCUGUAUUUGCUGCUGGCUGCAUAUGGCAGGGAGUUUAAGAUCUCCAUGAAGGAAAAUGAUUAUCAUUGAGUCACACCAAUAGCUGCGACGCUGGCUGCCUGCCCCCGCCAGCCUGCUGCACCACUUGUGUGCUAAUGUUUGGAUUCUAGUGGUGGGAAAUGAAUGUCAGCCUGUACUCUCUUCAUGCACCAUUGAGCUGUGCUUAUGGUCGCUCUUGGCAGCACCAAAUCAUCAAACAGAUAAAACCAUCAGUCUUUUUAUUUCCAAACAUUAACCUAACUGCUAAUAAAGCACAGCUCAUGUCAUCCUUAUGGACUCUGCAGAGCUGAGUCACACGACAAACGGGAUCCGAAUGCUGGAAAAUGGCUCGUGCUUCUUCCUCG
rnacentral:lncRNA from 7 species